rnacentral:rRNA from 1 species
AGAGUUUGAUCAUGGCUCAGAUUGAACGCUGGCGGCAUGCUUUACACAUGCAAGUCGAACGGCAGCACGGGGGCAACCCUGGUGGCGAGUGGCGAACGGGUGAGUAAUAUAUCGGAACGUACCCGGAAAUGGGGGAUAACGUAGCGAAAGUUACGCUAAUACCGCAUAUGCCCUAAGGGGGAAAGCGGGGGAUUCGCAAGAACCUCGCGUUUUCGGAGCGGCCGAUAUCGGAUUAGCUAGUAGGUGAGGUAAAGGCUCACCUAGGCGACGAUCCGUAGCUGGUCUGAGAGGACGACCAGCCACACUGGAACUGAGACACGGUCCAGACUCCUACGGGAGGCAGCAGUGGGGAAUUUUGGACAAUGGGCGCAAGCCUGAUCCAGCCAUGCCGCGUGAGUGAAGAAGGCCUUCGGGUUGUAAAGCUCUUUCAGCCGGAAAGAAAACGCACGGGUUAAUAACCUGUGUGGAUGACGGUACCGGAAGAAGAAGCACCGGCUAACUACGUG